rnacentral:rRNA from 1 species
GUGUCAGCAGCCGCGGUAAUACAGAGGUCUCAAGCGUUGUUCGGAUUCAUUGGGCGUAAAGGGUGCGUAGGCGGCGCGGUAAGUCGGGUGUGAAAUCUCGGAGCUUAACUCCGAAACUGCAUUCGAUACUGCCGUGCUUGAGGACUGGAGAGGAGACUGGAAUUUACGGUGUAGCGGUGAAAUGCGUAGAUAUCGUAAGGAAGACCAGUGGCGAAGGCGGGUCUCUGGACAGUUCCUGACGCUGAGGCACGAAGGUCAGGGGAGCAAACGGGAUUAGAUACCCGCGUAGUCC